UAACCCGUUCCAACUGUUGUUAUGAAUCCGGGUCACGACGGAAACUGGUGUCUUUUUUUAUUUUAACUUUAUUGAGCAAAUGACAGGUUUAAGCACCUCCAGUGGGUAGAUCAUCUCUUUGUCCAGACUGGUCCAGGAGUUCAAAGUUGUCCGAUCCCUCCUGAAGUCUUGUGCCAUUUCAACCUGGAACGCUGCUGUUGGAGCUGUUUUAAAAGCACCUGUACAAAUUGUUCGAACCUGAUGCAGGAUAUUGUUUAACUUAUGGGGUGGCUGCGGCUCAGAAUUCGUCCUGUAACCGGUGGGUUGCCGGUUCAAACCCCCCCCCCUCUGUCUGUCUCAGUGGUUGUGUCCUUGGUAGAGAUACAUCACCCUACUUGCCUGCCUCUGGUGGUCAGAGGGCCCGGUGGUGCCUAUUGUAUGGCAGGCUCGUCUCUGUCAGUCUGGCCCCAGUAUAAAUAGCUUUCAAGGAAUUCCAGCCAGAUCCUCAGCCACUUCUAGCUAAACAUUUGAUCAUAUAUUUAACCAUUUCUUACACUUAUCCAUUUUGUUUUUAAUAUGUACACCCCAUGUCAUCAUUUCAUCAAACCACAACCCAAGAAACUUCAGUUGUUCAACUGUUUCCAA